UUCAAACGCAGCCCAAACUCUGCAAGAUUUUAGUCAACUGUAUUUGGCUCUGCUGUUCCAAGCGGAUCAUCUGUUUUACAGGGAUGCAAUGUCAAGAGAGUCCAACCCAUUAAAGCAACGGCCACUGAAUUGCCACCAACUGUUCAGAAAUUGAAGACCGGUGGGAAGUCAAAGGUUGGGAUCAAUGGUAAGUUCAUCAUAGCUCCUAGUUUGAAAUGAGGACUUAAUAAUUAUUGUACAUUCCAUUGUUUGGUGUGGUUAAUGUUUUUAUCAUUCUUUU